GAUAGCUCAGUCGGUAGAGUGCAUGCCUGGUAAGCAUAAGGCCCUGGGUUCGAUCCCCAGCACCA